CCUCCCUUAAUUCAAGUUUCCACUUCCUUCAUUCCAAUCAAACUUCUGAGCUUGAUGAAUCUGUCAACCUUCAAUGCCUUAGUGAAUAUGUCUGCAAGCUGCAGCUCAGUAGAACAAUGAACAAUCUGUAGUGCUCCCUUGUUCACUUGCUCCCUCAGAAAAUGAAACUUUGCUUCUAUGUGCUUGCUUCUUCCAUGCAGAACUGGAUUUCUUGCUAAGCUUAUAGCAGAUUUGUUGUCUAUGAGCAAUUCUAUAGGUCUGCUAACCU
rnacentral:lncRNA from 1 species